UACGUAGGGCGCAAGCGUUAUCCGGAAUUAUUGGGCGUAAAGAGCUCGUAGGCGGUUUGUCGCGUCUGCCGUGAAAGUCCGGGGCUCAACUCCGGAUCUGCGGUGGGUACGGGCAGACUAGAGUGAUGUAGGGGAGACUGGAAUUCCUGGUGUAGCGGUGAAAUGCGCAGAUAUCAGGAGGAACACCAGUGGCGAAGGCGAGUCUCUGGACGACUCCUGACACUGAGGCACGAAAGCCAGGGGAGCAAACAGG
rnacentral:rRNA from 1 species